CUAUGAAUUACCACGCACUCUAAUUAACUAACUAAAAUUAGAAAAAUAAAAAUGAUGAAAUAAUCAGUCAGAUGUAAGAAUUGCAGCAGCCUCCUUGGCCCUAAAGUUGUCAGCAACUUUAAGAUGGAAGAACUAAAUAAUAACAAAAAAAAAGUGUGUGUGUGUGUAUGUGUGUAUAUAUAAACAAUGUGCAACUUAUUCUCCCUGGGUGUGAAAAACUUUAAAACAGUUGCCAAUACAAAGGCCGGGCUGAGAGGGGCAAUAAAAGCUGGUUUGCGUCCUUAUGCCCCUCUGGUAGCACAACCUGCACCUUUUCUGGGGUGUCUUCUUUUUGGGGGUUGGUGGUAUCCGGAAACAGAAGUGACCUGUCGCAACCCUUCUGCUGCUAGGCCCAGUUGAUGGUUCCCCACUGUGGCACUCAGUGAGCAGCCCAGAAAUAAGCUGAAACUGGAAAUCCAAAAAUGUGGAUUUAAUGUCAGCAUUUGCAUUUUAGCACAGAAUUAAGGCAUUGUGAGUCGCCAUUUGCAUAAGGUAAAUGCCAAGCUUUUUGUACCAUGCCCUGGUCUUCCUCAGUAUUAAAUAGGGUUGCUGCAGUUGGUCGGACAGGCCAACUGCCCCCAUGUGCUUGUUAUACUGCCUAAUGCAGACUGGCACCCGUCUAAUUUCUUGUCUGCCACGAACUGCGACUCUUCAAGUGUGCUCAGUAUGCAUAGAUGUUAGCAUGAACACCUCCUUCUUAUCUUUGAAUUUGAGAGCCAGCAGUUCGUCCUAGCAGAGAGCAGCUGUUUCCCCCCCUCGAGCUUUUUUUGUGCCAGGGCUUUGGGAAACCGACAGGUGUCUUUCGGAUAGUGCCGUAGGC